CCAUUUUAUAAGCAAUGAUUUUUAAAAAUGGUUUUAGUCACCAAUAAUAACCCUGAUAUAAUGGAGGUGUUUUAUUUUUUUUUAAGCACACUUCAGGUUCAUGUUUAAGGCUUUAUUCAUCAGAAGUGCAAUUUUCUGCAGUAUUUACUGCUAGAUUUAGCUGACAUGCAAUAGGAAACCACCACAGGCUGAUAACAUCCCUCAUGUGUCCUGUCUUCUGUAUGCAAUACCCUAAGAGAUUGCAACAUACUUUUUUGAGAAAUUGGUAAAAAUGUUGCAUCAGUACUGAUUUCAGUUUGCACAGCUGGGGACGAACAUGCCAUAAGACAAGCAGGCUCACCUUAAAUCAGCGGUGCUCUGUCUGAUGUUUCAGACUCAGAUACAUUAUGAACAUCUGCACCAUCAGCAGACGUGAGGACAGUAUGUGAGACACCUGUAUACUGCACAUGUGUCAGUGAUGCCGAACGCAUUAGUUCUCAUGUGCAACUCGUCGUCUUCAGUCUGCUUUUGUGUCCCGUGGAGGAAAUCAAGUCAAAUGCGGUUGAAACCACAAGAAGAAAGCAGCCAUUACUGUAAACGCUAUCAGAAGAGAACCCACUUCACCUCUCCUCGAGCAGAUACGAUGAACCCUGUUCUCUAGGCCUCGGUUAGGAAAGCAGGCUCUGCUUUUAGAGCCGUCAGAGCCACACACCCAGCGUGGGCGACGUUUGCUGUGUGAAGGGAAGCUCAGGCACAAACCCUGUAAUCUGGGGUCAUCACUCCACAAGCAGAGUGGGAUUUGCAUCAAGCGCUCAUUCAGAACUACAGCAUGAUGAGACAGUUUCCCAGACGGACCGUAAGAAUGACCAAAGGACUCCAAGAAAACCCCAUUCCCUGCGUGUCAUGUUGGCUUUGGGAAGGAGUUUUACAGUGACAUCACAGACCACCGGUAAUCCCCCAGUGAGCCAUUCUUCCUUAUUCUCCAUCUUUCUUGUGUGAAUGCGUAACAGAACCUCUCGUAUACGUAUGAACUGUACAGGGCAUUUCCUGCGAUUGAAAGACCAAGCACCAUGUCAAGUCAAAUUUAUCUGUAAAGUGCUUCAUAGUAUGGUCUCUGAGCACCUUUACAGAAAGUUCUGUUUAUUCUGUAACAGUUAUGUUUUUAUAGUGUAAUUUUCAUGGACAUUUAGUUUGUUUCUCAUCACUUUCCUGUUUCCUCCGCUCUGGUUUCCCGCACUCAUCUGUCUCCAUGCAGCUGUUUGUCCUUAUGACUCAUCACUGUGUGUAUUUAAGUUCCUCACUUCCUCUCUUUCAUUGUCUGGUAUUGUUUGUGUUUAGCUUUUGGAUCUACCUGUGUUUGCUUUGUUUAAUAAAGAGAAAACAAAGAGUGGCA
ensembl:lncRNA